GAGGAGUUGGUGGAGGAUCACAUGAAUUCUAUAGAAGCUGUUUUACUGAAGAAGUUUACCAAGUCAUGCAGACCGUUUAUUUUUCAACCGGUGCAGAUCAAAGGUCAGUUUCAAGCAGUGAGUUAAGUAAGUCGUUGGGGAUGAUUUUUGGUGUACAUUUCAUCGGAUCAAGAUCGAGGACCUUGAGCCGUUAUGGUUGUGACUCGAAAAGACAAAAUGGUCGUGAUUGUCAAAGUUUGGGAAAUCUGGAACGUUUGCAUCAUUCGCGCUUUGGUGGUUCUUGUGAAGAGUUAGGAUUUUAGGUGACCCUUCCUCAUGAAGUUACCCGAUCUACGUUACCUAUACCUAAGAUAACACAUGUUGAACUUGUCCACUUUUCCUUACCGUUAGUCCACAUCCAAGUGUUAGGCUAUUUGGGUAGAGCCUACACUUUAUAGUUGACUGGACCGUCAAAACCCCUGAAAGGUCCAAUCACAGGUUUGCUUCUUAUCCCAUUGCGUGUUGUGUGCAUUUUAAAAAUUUAUGAAUGAUUAAAUAAAUAAGUGAAGGAGUGAUCAAGGUGUCGUAUGAGACCUUGCCUAUGGAUGGAAUUUUCCGCCCAUAUUGUGUUUGAUGCGGGAACAACACAUAGAUG
rnacentral:lncRNA from 1 species